rnacentral:tRNA from 1 species
GCCGGUGUGGCGAAAUGGCAGACGCACAGGACUUAAAAUCCUGGGUCCGUAACAGGACGUGUCGGUUCGACCCCGACCACCGGCACCA